GUCCUUGUGUUAAAAGUAUUAGCAUUUACCCCCCUACGAAAUUUAGUCAACGACAUGAAACCCCCUGGUCCAUGAUCGUGUAAUACACUCGCUAGUUAUGCAACUGGGGGUGUAUAUUCAGCGUGAAAAGACAUAAAUACCCUCUAAAUCAGAAAUUUCAAAAUUAUAUAUUCACCCAGAAUUUUUGUAAGUCCCAAAUGAAGUUUUCAAAAAAUUUAAUUCAGUCCCUCAUAGUUUCAAUAAAGCCCUCUCUCCCAUUGAAACUCAAAAACACGCAGUAACAUUCUUCUAUCCCCUAUCGUUUUCUCGUCGGCUCCGUUCAUGACUGGAAACCGCUAUCCGGACUUCUCCGUUGUUCACCGCUACUCCCCUCCCUUCUAUAGCAGCAACCCCCAAGUCAACAACACCGACAUUCACACCGACACCGACACAGCCAGUUGAUUAUCUCUAGACAUGAGUUGUUGAAACCCUAAACAGGGGACAAGAUGCUCUUCAAACCUUACUUCUUUAAUUUGGGGAUUUUUUUUUCUCGCCGAAAUGUAGAAGAAUCGGGAAGUUACAGAUAAAUUUAGUCAAUUAAUGGCGGAAUCGAAGCAGAAGGCUUCAAUUGCAGAGGAAUUUGUCAUUGAUUUGAACCAAUCCUUCAAGCAUAGAGGAGAGAGGCGGCGGAGAUGGUGAAUGGCGGAGGAGGAGGAG
rnacentral:lncRNA from 1 species